GAUGAACGCUAGCGGCAGGCCUAAUACAUGCAAGUCGAGGGGUAGAGCGGUGCUUGCACUGCUUGAGACCGGCGCACGGGUGCGUAACGCGUAUGCAACCUACCUUAAUCAGGGGGAUAGCCCGGAGAAAUCCGGAUUAACACCGCAUAAAAUCACAGUACCGCAUGGUACAAUGAUCAAAUAUUUAUAGGAUUAAGAUGGGCAUGCGUGUCAUUAGCUAGUUGGCGGGGGAAUGGCCCACCAAGGCGACGAUGACUAGGGGAUCGGAGAAGGUGCCCCCCCACACUGGUACUGAGACCCGAACCAGACUCCAACGGGAGGCAGCAGUAAGGCAUAUUUGUCAAUGGAGGCCACUCUGAACCAGCCAUGCCGCGAUCAGGAAGACGGCCCUAUGGGUUGUAAUCUGCUUUUAUACCGGAAUAAACCUAUCUUCGUGAAGGUAGCUGAAUGUACGGUAAGAAUAAGGAUCGGCUAACUCCGUGCCAGCCGCCGCAGUAAUAC
rnacentral:rRNA from 1 species